GAUGAACGCUGGCGGCGUGCUUAACACAUGCAAGUCGAACGGAAAGGCCCAAGCUUGCUUGGGUACUCGAGUGGCGAACGGGUGAGUAACACGUGGGUGAUCUGCCCUGCACUUCGGGAUAAGCCUGGGAAACUGGGUCUAAUACCGGAUAGGACGAUGGUUUGGAUGCCAUUGUGGAAAGUUUUUUCGGUGUGGGAUGAGCUCGCGGCCUAUCAGCUUGUUGGUGGGGUAAUGGCCUACCAAGGCGUCGACGGGUAGCCGGCCUGAGAGGGUGUACGGCCACAUUGGGACUGAGAUACGGCCCAGACUCCUACGGGAGGCAGCAGUGGGGAAGAUUGCACAAUGGGCGCAAGCCUGAUGCAGCGACGCCGCGUGGGGGAUGACGGCCUUCGGGUUGUAAACUCCUUUCGCUAGGGACGAAGCGUUUUGUGACGGUACCUGGAGAAGAAGCACCGGCUAACUACGUG
rnacentral:rRNA from 1 species